rnacentral:rRNA from 1 species
UACGUAGGGGCAAGCGUUGUCCGGAAUUAUUGGGCGUAAAGAGCGUGUAGGCGGUCCGGUAAGUCAGCUGUGAAAGUCAAGGGCUCAACCCUUGAAUGCCGGUUGAUACUGUCGGGCUAGAGUCCGGAAGAGGCGAGUGGAAUUCCCGGUGUAGCGGUGAAAUGCGCAGAUAAUCGGGAGGAACACCAAUGGCGAAGGCAGCUCGC